rnacentral:rRNA from 1 species
CCUUGAGGGUCCUGAAGGAACGUUGAAGACGACGACGUUGAUAGGCCGGGUGUGUAAGCGCAGCGAUGCGUUGAGCUAACCGGUACUAAUGAACCGUGAGGCUUAACCUU